GUGACCUGGACCCUUGGCUGGCCCUGGCUACCACCUUUGCACCCACCUUACUCACUUGCUUGGAUGCUGUGGGACAGGGCUGGCCAGUGAGUUCUCUGCCCUAUUGGCUGGCUUACAGUUCAUGCUUCCAGCUCCCCAUCCCUUAAGAAACAUCCAACCCUCAUUGCGCUUAUGGUUAGUUACAGAGGAAAUUGAGUGGCAGACAUGUGACAGACUUCCGAAUGUCUUACGUGGCUCUGGGUAAAAUGAUGUGCAACUCUGUAAGUACAGGUGGUCAGGCAGUACCUAUGUCACCUCUGGGGCAAGUGCUGUCAGAAAAGAGAGUAGGAACAGCCAAUAUUAAGCAAAUUGAUCAUCUUUAAUGCUUCCAUCAAGAUGCAGGUAUUGAUGCUGGAAAUUAAUAAUCCUGCUGCCCCCAUUAAAAUAUACAAAUGGCUUCACUCUGAUUUUAUCGAGCUGGGAGGCAUUGGGGGUUUGUGGAGACUCACUGGUAAGGCUUAGAAGAGUUCCAGCAGGAAGUUCAAUGCAUCAUCUCAAAUGACAGCUGCAUUGCAAAUGUCAUGUGAAUUCCUCUGAUAGAUCACCAUGACAAGAAAAAGAGCAGCCUUCUUGUGAGGGGCUGUGCUUUCUGCUGUGUGCACAAAUGUUCUACCAACCACCUCGGCUUGUGAAGGCAGAUGUCAUGCAGUCUGCAAACAUCUUGUGGUGCCCUGGAGCCAUCUGCCUCCUCUGCCCAGCAGAACUGCAACAGGUCUGUGUGGAGGGAGGUUUCCAAGCACCCAGGAUCCUCUGCUUGAGCAGGAUGCCAGCCAGGUCUUUCCCCUGCAAAGCUCCAGCUGCAUCUCAGAGAUAGAUGGAAGGGUGUGAAUAAGGUUACACGGGUGGUGUCCUUUCAGCAUAUCCCUCCCGUAAGACCCUCAGUCAUGUUAGAAACAUCCUGAGCCCCUGCAGGUCUGAGGUGGCCCAAGCCUCUGACUUCCCUGAGAUUUGCUGUGGAUUGGCCUGGGUUUCACUGCUCUCUUCUCCUCUCACCCUUCCUGCAGCCCUGAUGUGGAGUUCUGUGGCUACUGCAUCACGCACCCCUCUGAAAGCAAGAUCAACUUCAGGAUCCAGACCAGAGGGGCCCUUCCUGCUGUUGAGCCAUUCCAGAAAGGGCUGAACGACACAUUUGCUAACAUGUGCUCAACACCUUUGAGAGGAGCAUGAAGGAGUACAGGGCCCAGAGGGAGGAAGAGAUACAGUAGCAUUUAGGGAUGGCAGUCUCCAUGGAUGUGUGUAACAUCUGUGUGUUGAAUUCCCUGUGCCAAGUAUUUCUGGUUGUGUGUUUGUCCUGAGUUCAGCAGUAGCAGUCAUUUUUAAUCCUUCUUAGUAGCUGGUGCAGUGCUAUGGUUUUUAACUUUCAGCCUGGAAACAAUGCUGAUAACACCAGUGUUUUUAGUUGCUGCUCAGUAGUGUCUACUCUGACCAAGGACUUUCUGAGUCUCAUGCUCUGCCAGGGAGGAGGGGAAGCCGGGAGGAAGCAGAGACAGGACACUUGACCCAAACUAGCCAAAGAGGUAUUCCAUACUACAACAUGUCAUGCCCACUAUAUAAACUGGGGGAGUUACCCAGAAGGGUUGGAUCACUGCUCAGUCAGGCUGAGUAUCAGUCAGCAGGUAGUGAGUGGUUGUGUUCUCUUCCCUUGUUUAUUUCCCUUAUCAUUAUUAUUAUUGGUGGUAGCAGUAGUGGGUUUGUGUUAUACCUUAGUUACUGGACUGUUCUUCUUUCAACCCGUGGGAGUUACAUUCUUUCCAUUCUCCUCCCCAUCCCUCCUGGGAGGGGGGGGGAAAGAGGGGGAGUGAGAGAGAGACUGCAUGGCUGACUGAGUUUAAACCACGACAGUGUUUUAUGACUGCUUUGAUGCAAACCUGUAUUUUCUCUAAUAAUAAAGAUUAUGGAGGCUGAUGUUGCAGAGGUGACACUGUGUUCAGCUCAGCAGGGUAUGAAAUAUGAUAGAAGGCAGUUCUUCCACUCUUCUGUCUUAUUUCUGUCUCUUUCCAAGCGUCGUUGCUUUUGUCUGCCCAGGAUUUUGAGAUCACACAGUUUUCAGGUAGCCUUGUGCACAGAGCUAGUCUGCCCCACGUCCACAGGGAGCAGAGGAGCUCAGCACUGUGCAAAGUCCAGCUUUUAGAGAGGCAGCACCCUCUCCCAGUUUCAAUCUUUCUGUUGCAGGCACCACUGCAGUUGACUUCAACAGAUAAAACCGGCUUUCCUUUUUAAACAGAGCGUUAUUCGCUUGCAGCCCAGAACCCCUCUGUGCUGGGCUGCAUCCCCAGAGUGUGAGCAGCAGUUGAGGGAGGGGAUUCUCCCCCUCUGCUGUGCUCUGGGGAGACCCCUCUGCAGUCCUGAUCCAGCUCUGGAGCAACACCACAAGAGGGACGUGGAGCUGCUGGAGUGAGUCCAGAGGAGGCCACGGAGAUGCUGGGAGGGUUCUGGGGACAGGCUGAGAAACCUGGAGAGGGGCUUUUUACAAGGCAAUGUACGGACAGGACAAGGGGGAAUGGCUUUAACCUGUCUGAGGGGAGAUUGCUACUUAAUGGGAAACACCCAGGAGAAAGAAAGUCUCCUUUCAAACACCACCACAUUUUAUUAACAUACAGAGGAAUAAUAGGGAGUGUAAGAGAAACAAUGUUGUUUUCGCAUAACUGGGGAUGGGGCUUUGCAAGAUUUAGGCUUUCCAAUAUUAAGAUUUUUCAAUACUGGGGCUGCGGCUGUUACUCAGGGAACAAAACAGA